GGACGAACGCUGGCGGCGUGCCUAUACAUGCAAGUCGAACGCUUUCUAUGGAAGCUUGCUUCCACUGAGAAGAUAGUGGCGAACGGGUGAGGUAACACGUGGGUAACCCUGCCCAUAAGAGGGGGAUAACAUCCGGAAACGGGUGCUAAUACCGCAUAGUUUUCUUGAUCGCAUGAUUGAGAAAGGAAAGACGGCCUUUGUGCUGUCGCUUAUGGAUGGACCCGCGGCGUAUUAGUUAGUUGGUGAGGUAACGGCUCACCAAGACGAUGAUACGUAGCCGACCUGAGAGGGUGAUCGGCCACAUUGGGACUGAGACACGGCCCAAACUCCUACGGGAGGCAGCAGUAGGGAAUCUUCCGCAAUGGACGAAAGUCUGACGGAGCAACGCCGCGUGAGUGAAAGAAGGUUUUCGGAUCGUAAAACUCUGUUGUCAGAGAAGAACAAGUUGGAGAGUAACUGCUCCAGCCUUGACGGUAUCUGACCAGAAAGCCACGGCUAACUACGUGCCAGCCGCCGC
rnacentral:rRNA from 1 species